UUAAGGUGGCUGAGUGGCCUGUUUUAAGGUGAAGGAGUGGCCUGUUUUAAGGUGAAGGAGUGGCCUGUUUUAAGGUGAAGGAGUGGCCUGUUUUAAGAUGGCUGAGUGGCCUGUUUUAAGGUGGCUGAGUGGCCUGUUUUAAGGUGGCUGAGUGGCCUGUUUUAAGGUGAAGGAGUGGCCUGUUUUAAGGUGGCUGAGUGGCCUGUUUUAAGAUGGCUGAGUGGCCUGUUUUAAGGUGGCUGAGUGGCCUGUUUUAAGGUGAAGGAGUGGCCUGUUUUAAGGUGAAGGAGUGGCCUGUUUUAAGGUGGCUGAGUGGCCUGUUUUAAGAUGGCUGAGUGGCCUGUUUUAAGGUGGCUGAGUGGCCUGUUUUAAGGUGAAGGAGUGGCCUGUUUUAAGGUGAAGGAGUGGCCUGUUUUAAGGUGGCUGAGUGGCCUGUUUUAAGAUGGCUGAGUGGCCUGUUUUAAGAUGGCUGAGUGGCCUGUUUUAAGAUGGCUGAGUGGCCUGUUUUAAGGUGAAGGAGUGGCCUGUUUUAAGAUGGCUGAGUGGCCUGUUUUAAGAUGGCUGAGUGGCCUGUUUUAAGGUGGCUGAGUGGCCUGUUUUAAGAUGGCUGAGUGGCCUGUUUUAAGAUGGCUGAGAGGCCUGUUUUAAGGUGAAGGAGUGGCCUGUUUUAAGAUGGCUGAGUGGCCUGUUUUAAGAUGGCUGAGUGGCCUGUUUUAAGGUGGCUGAGUGGCCUGUUUUAAGAUGGCUGAGUGGCCUGUUUUAAGAUGGCUGAGUGGCCUGUUUUAAGGUGAAGGAGUGGCCUGUUUUAAGAUGGCUGAGUGGCCUGUUUUAAGAUGGCUGAGUGGCCUGUUUUAAGGUGGCUGAGUGGCCUGUUUUAAGAUGGCUGAGUGGCCUGUUUUAAGAUGGCUGAGAGGCCUGUUUUAAGGUGAAGGAGUGGCCUGUUUUAAGAUGGCUG